AGUGAACGCUGGCGGCAGGCCUAACACAUGCAAGUCGAACGGCAGCACAAGAGAGCUUGCUCUCUGGGUGGCGAGUGGCGGACGGGUGAGGAAUGCAUCGGAAUCUGCCCAUUUGUGGGGGAUAACCUCGGGAAACCGGGACUAAUACCGCAUACGACCUACGGGUGAAAGCAGGGGAUCUUCGGACCUUGCGCAGAUGGAUGAGCCGAUGCCGGAUUAGCUAGUUGGAGGGGUAAAGGCCCACCAAGGCGACGAUCCGUAGCUGGUCUGAGAGGAUGAUCAGCCACACUGGGACUGAGACACGGCCCAGACUCCUACGGGAGGCAGCAGUGGGGAAUAUUGGACAAUGGGCGCAAGCCUGAUCCAGCCAUGCCGCGUGUGUGAAGAAGGCCUUCGGGUUGUAAAGCACUUUUGUUGGGAAAGAAAAGCAGCCGGUUAAUACCCGGUUGUCAUGACGGUACCCAAAGAAUAAGCACCGGCUAACUUC
rnacentral:rRNA from 1 species